CCCGUCUUAGCAUAGACUGGCCAAUGCGGCGGACUGUAGAUCCGCAGACCCCCGGUUCAAAUCCGGGAGACGGGACCA
rnacentral:tRNA from 1 species